rnacentral:rRNA from 1 species
GGGGAAUAUUGCGCAAUGGGCGAAAGCCUGACGCAGCAACGCCGUGUGAGGGAUGAAGGCUUUCGGGUCGUAAACCUCUGUCGGAAGGGAAGAACGGGCAUUGGUCUAAUAGGCCUUUGUUUUGACGGUACCUUUAGAGGAAGCACCGGCUAACUCCGUGCCAGCAGCCGCGGUAAUACGGAGGGUGCAAGCGUUAUUCGGAAUUACUGGGCGUAAAGCGCACGUAGGCCGCUUUGUAAGUCAGGGGUGAAAUCCCACGGCUCAACCGUGGAACUGCCCUUGAAACUGCGAAGCUUGAAUCCUGGAGAGGGUGGCGGAAUUCCUGGUGUAGGAGUGAAAUCCGUAGAUAUCAGGAGGAACACCGGUGGCGAAGGCGGCCACCUGGACAGGUAUUGACGCUGAGGUGCGAAAGUGUGGGGAGCAAAC